UAAUGUAUGGGGAUCUGCCCGAUAGAGGGGGGUAACUACUGGAAACGGUGGCUAUACCGCAUAAUGUCUACGGACCAAAGCAGGGGCUCUUCGGACCUUGCACUAUCGGAUGAACCCAUAUGGGAUUAGCUAGUAGGUGGGGUAAAGGCUCACCUAGGCGACGAUCUCUAGCUGGUCUGAGAGGAUGAUCAGCCACACUGGGACUGAGACACGGCCCAG
rnacentral:rRNA from 1 species